rnacentral:tRNA from 1 species
GCCUUCGUGGUGCAACUGGAUAGCACGUUCGUCUAACAAUCGGAAAAUCCAGUGUUCGACUCGCGGCGAGAGCA